rnacentral:tRNA from 1 species
GGGUGAUUAGCUCAGCUGGGAGAGCACCUCCCUUACAAGGAGGGGGUCGGCGGUUCGAUCCCGUCGUCACCCA